AGGAAAAGGCAUUGCAAGAGGAGAACAGGCAGCUAGCAAAUAAGGUAAAGGAAAAUGAGAAGGCUUUGGUUGAACGUGGACAGUGCGAUGUUCCAAAUUUGGUUCAUAAUAAACAGCCCAUUUUUGGAAUGACACCACCAAUUCCUUCUUUAUCUUUCUGAAAAGAAGAUGAAUAUUUUGUGGAGGAAGAUGGGUGGACUCAAAUUUUGUCCCAACUUCAAAUUAGUUCAAAGGAACAACCCUGCUCUUCUCUUUUCUUCAUUCUCUACCACUCGGGCUUCUUACAACACUCACGUCUCUGAGAAUGAUUGAAGUUAUAUCGGGUUGAAAGCUGAGCAAUUGUGUAGAUAGCCAGGCGAUCAUUGAAGGUUGAAGAUUGAAGAUUGAGAAGACGUUUAGAAUUUUUCUUAUUUACCUCUUGUAUUAGGAUCUUUUUUCAUAUACUGUUGUAAAAUGUAUAUAUAAACACAAUAUUAAGUUUUCAUUUUGUGUAUACAAAUGUGAAA